GACGAACGCUGGCGGCGUGCUUAACACAUGCAAGUCGAACGGAAAGGCCCUGCUUUUGUGGGGUGCUCGAGUGGCGAACGGGUGAGUAACACGUGAGUAACCUGCCCUUGACUUUGGGAUAACUUCAGGAAACUGGGGCUAAUACCGGAUAGGAGCUCCUGCUGCAUGGUGGGGGUUGGAAAGUUUCGGCGGUUGGGGAUGGACUCGCGGCUUAUCAGCUUGUUGGUGGGGUAGUGGCUUACCAAGGGUUUGACGGGUAGCCGGCCUGAGAGGGUGAACGGGCACAUUGGGACUAAGAUACGGCCCAGACUCCUACGGGAGGCAGCAGUGGGGAAUAUUGCACAAUGUGCGGAAGCCUGAUGCAGCAACGCCGCGUGCGGGAUGACGGCCUUCGGGUUGUAAACCGCUUUCGCCUGUGACGAAGCGUGAGUGACGGUAAUGGGUAAAGAAGCACCGGCUAACUACGUG
rnacentral:rRNA from 1 species